rnacentral:rRNA from 1 species
AGGUUAAGCUAAUAAGAGCACACGGAGGAUGCCUAGGCGCCAGGAGCCGACGAAGGACGUGGCGAACAACGAAACUGCCUCGGGGAGCUGUAAGCAAGCUUUGAUCCGGGGGUGUCCGAAUGGGGAAACCCAGCUGUGGUAAUUCGCAGUUACUCAUUUCUGAAUACAUAGGAAAUGUAGAGGCAGACCAGGGGAACUGAAACAUCUAAGUACCCUGAGGAAGAGAAAACAAUAGUGAUUCCGUCAGUAGCGGCGAGCGAACGCGGAACAGCCUAAACCUAAGAGCUUGCUCUUAGGGGUUGUGGGACGUCUCACAUGGAGUUACAAAGGAAUAUGGUAGGUGAAGAGGUCUGGAAAGGCCCGCGAUAGAGGUAAAAGCCCUGUAACCUAAACUGUGUUCUCUCCGAGACGGAUCCCGAGUAGUGCGGGGCACGUGAAACCCCGUAUGAAUCCAGCAGGACCAU